CAGUAGCCGCGGUAAUACGAAGGGGGCUAGCGUUGUUCGGAAUUACUGGGCGUAAAGCGCACGUAGGCGGAUAUUUAAGUCAGGGGUGAAAUCCCGCAGCUCAACUGCGGAACUGCCUUUGAUACUGGGUAUCUUGAGUAUGGAAGAGGUUAGUGGAAUUGCGAGUGUAGAGGUGAAAUUCGUAGAUAUUCGCAGGAACACCAGUGGCGAAGGCGGCUAACUGGUCCAUAACUGACGCUGAGGCGCGAAAGCGUGGGGAGCAAACAGGAUUAGAUACCCGAGUAGUCCCUGUCUCUUAUAC
rnacentral:rRNA from 1 species